AACGGUGAUGGAGACAUACGGCGGAAGUACUGAGGUAGAGGGAUCUAAGCCAGCAGUUCUCAACCUUCCUAACGCCGCAACCCUUUAAUACAGUUCCUCAUGCUGGGACGAACACAACCAUAAGAUUAUUUUUAUUGCUACCUUAUUACUGUAAUUUUUUGGCUGUUAUAAAUCAUAACCGGAUGGUCUUAGGUGACAGCUCCCGCGGGUUGGUCCACCUCUAAAGGGGUCACGACCCACAGGUUGAGAACCACUGAUGUAGGGGUCGUGCCGGGCUUUGGAGCCAUCUGGCUUUUGGGUCUACAUGGCAUUAGCUUGUUAGUCUAUUGUCAUUCAGGGCCUGAGCAUGAUAUGAGAGAGGCAAGUCAUUAGUGACUCAGUGUCUAUGGUGACAGUCCCAGACUGCCAGAGCUGUUUGUCUAAAGCCUUGGGUGUUGGGUGCUAAGAAAGAAGACAAAUUCAAGACAGGUGAGAAUGUUAACGGCUUCUUACUGCCUAGUGAGUUCUCUAUCCAGUGCUGUACUGUUGGCCUACACCGGAGAUAAGAAGCUUUCUUAGACUAUGAGAUGGACCUCGGUGAGAUUCCCCCCUUCCACCCUAGCCUCUCUAUUCAUGACUUCCAUUGAUGACUUCCAUGCUGGCCUGAAUAUGGAGCUCACUGGAUGGUGAAGCCUUCGGUUUUGAGCUAGAGCUUCAGGAUAGAGACACUAAGGCCUCUUCGGUGUGUGAAACGUCUACGUGCACACAAUCAGCAUUAGAGAGGAAAAAAUAUCCUUGCCUGAAGUAUGCAUUUUCUUCUAUUUCUAACACAUGCAAACCCAAUGCAGGUGCUGGCAAGCUGUUUGCCGGGGGCUCUGACAAUGAUGUAAGGAAGACCAGGGCCAACCGACCACCAUCUCCAAAGAGCGGUGCGGACCAUGUGUGGUGUGAACACUGCCUGUUUGUCCUUGCUGCAGUCCCAGUUAGCUGUGUGCUAACUGCACGAAUAAAGAACACUUCUGUGGAGCAACCUAACAUGUCUGUUUUCCAGAUUUCUGAAGAAAAAAAAAGCUUGAGACAUUCUAAUCUUAGCCAACAUUCUCGCUCAGCAUUGGUAUUUAUAAUUAUUGAGAAAUCAAGGAGAAGAGAGGGAAAUGGUAAUAAAGCAUUUAAAACU